rnacentral:misc_RNA from 1 species
AACUUACUAUUCUAGCUGCUGAACAAGAGAACUCAAAAUGGGGUUGGACUGUGGAGGAAAGAUGGGACAGUUUAUCCUUGUGAUAAUCAACACAGUGUUUUUGUUGAUGGGUCUGGGGCUGUUCAUCCCAGGAAUCGUCCUACAAACCAACAUUGACUUUGUGAGCGACGAAAUUAAGCCGGUUCUGGACCAGGUUAGCGUGACGGGAAUAGCCCUUGGUGAUGUAGUUAAGAACCUCGGCAUCGGCUUCAUCAUCGUUGGGGUGUUCGUAUUCUUGGUUGCAGUGCUGGGGUUAAUGGGAGCCUGCUGCAAAAGCAAAUGUUUACUGACAAUCUACGCUAUUAUCGUGUUGCUCAUUCUGUUGUCCCAAAUUGUCGUCGUCAUCCUGUGGUUCACAAUGCAAAACCAGCUAAACUCUGUCGUAAAGGACGAGUUGUCGACGUCGUUAAAAAAUAACUUCCGCGAGGAUAGCUUGAAAGGAUCAAACCAACUCAGUAACGGAUGGAACUACAUCUUUCUCACACUGAAAUGUUGCGGAGUGAACGCUGUGACGGCCGGAAAUGCCGGUGACUUUGCCAAUACGCCCAACUGGACAAAAGGUUCGAAGAAGAUCCCAACCUCCUGUUGCGUUGGAGUGACCGCUUCGAACUACACUGCACCACCAACAUGUACAGACAACGUUGCUGCGGGAACUUACUACACUUCGGGCUGUUAUGACGCUCUGAUCAACAAAUUCGACACUUCAAAGUACAGCAGCGUGUUCCUAGGUGUAGGGGUUACUAUCAUCAUCAUCGAGGUAUGGUAUUCUUUUAUUCACUGCAUGACAUAAAGACACGAUCCAAUGAGGAUAUUCAAUGGCAUAAAAGUCAUACAUAUUCUAGCAUUCGUCAGUUCAAUUUUGAUGUGUAGAGGAAAUUAUGGCGAAGGAAACUUGGCUUAAGAUCUUCAUAUUCUCGCUAUGCUCGCCUCAAUCUGCAUUUGUCGGGGACAAGAAGAUUGAGAAAAAUUCACUGAAUGAAUAAAAAACCACGGAUACUUUUACCAUCAUAAAUUAACCAAACUAACUGUCAUAUUCGCAUAAAUUUCGUGCGUGAGAAAGUAAAUUGCUCUUAAACAAAGAUGAAGAUUUCCUGUGGAAACAUCCCCCCCAAAAGCGAAACAUUUGUAUUUCUCUCAUGUAUAGUUUUUGUACUGCAGCGAUAAACUUUUCCAGUUUUCAUAUUUUGUAUGAAACAUCUCAAUUUUCUUUUGAUUUUGAUUAUUUAAUAAAUAC